rnacentral:lncRNA from 1 species
GAUUCCCUCUGCUCCACAGGAGCUGCAGCGCGCACCAAAGAGCCUUCCUCCAGGAUCAAGCCUGAUGCAGAAGCGGUCACACUGACUACGGCAGGCUGAGCCCUGCCAGCUGUUGUGCACUCCGUGGAAACGGAGAAACACGCUCUCCAGCGGCUGCGUCAGGAGUGGUGCCUUGUGCACACCUCAGAGGGAGAGAAGUCUCCAACGGACUGAACGGAGGAAAAAAGAAAAAACGAGAAAAGGAAAAAGAGCUGCAUACCUGGCAGGCCUAUUGUGUGCAAAGCCCUUGAGUGACACACCCUAUGACCCACAGCACUGUGGCGAUCCCAGACACAUGCUUGGUCACUGGGCUGUGGAACAUACAGAAGCCCCUUGCUCCGGAACACGGACCACCCGACAGGAGCACGGACACAGCAGUCGGGGCAACGUGGGUGCCUCACAGAAGAGGGAAAAAGCCAGGAGGGCGGCACGAGGGCGCAAAGUUCUCAGCUUCGUUAGUCAUCAAGAAAAUGCAAACUAAAACCAAGGUAAGUGUGAGGGUUACUACUGAGUUUCAACUUGACUGGACUAAAGGAUGUGUAACUGUUCCUGGGAGCAUCUUGAGGAAGCUGCCAAAGGAGAUUCACUUUGACUCAGUGGACGGGGAGAGGCCGACGCACCCUCCAUCUGCGGGGGCAUGAUCUCAUCAGCUGCCAGCACGGCAGAGGAACGCGGAAGCACUGGACUGGCUGAGUCUUCCAGCCUCCAUCUUUCUUCCAUGCUGGAUACUUCCUGCCCUCGAACAUCAGACUCCAAGUGCUUCAGCUUUUGGGUUCUUGGACCUACACCAGUGGUUUGCCAGGGGCUCUUGGGCCUUCGGCCACAGACUGAAAGCUGCGCUGUUGGCUUCCCGACUUUAGAGGUUUGGGGACUCGGACUGGCUUCCUGGCUCCUCAGCUUGCCAACAGCCUAUUGUGGGACUUCACCUCAUGAUUGUGUGAGUCAAUACUCCCAAUAAACUCCCCUCCAUAUAUACAUUUAUCCUAUUAGUGCUGUCCCUCUAGAGAACCCUGACUCAUACACACAAGUACUGGUGAAGAGGUGGAGCAAAGGAAACUAGUCCACUCUCAUCAGGGCCAACUCACGCACCUGGCAAUCUCUACUCAUACUGAACACAAGUAUGCCCUAUAGCCCAGCAAUGCCAUUCUGGACAUACACGUCCAAAAGA